AUUGCUAUUACCAUUAUCAUCAUACAUUGUAUAAUGAGGUAUAAAUCCAUAAGCUAUUGAAUGCAUGCGUAUAUAUUAUAUGAGCUAUAUGAUAUAUAUGAAUUAUAGAAUGAUAACAACAAUGAUUGUGCUGUAUUUUACUGUGAAGAUGUUGCCCUGUGACGUAGGAUUUAUUGUAGGUUGUGCCAUUGUCCACUACACACACACACACACACACACAUACACACACACACCUUCGGAUCGAUAUUUUGAUCAAUACAGGAUAAUCGAUUACGGAUGGAACGUAGCCUGUAAAAAAAAAAAUUUGUUCAAAAUAUGAAAUAUAAUAGGAAAGAAAAACGAAAAACGAAUAAAAAAAGAAACAAAAUUCCAUCUUGUUAUGGGCAUAUUUUGAACGAGAAAACAAACGGACUGAAAUAGAGAGAAAAGAAAGAGAGAAAGAAAGAGUGUAUGUGUUGUCACUGUUAUACAUAUAUGAUAUCGGUUAUAACGAUUUAACGAUUGGCUUAUUAUUAUAAUACGCAAGAGCUGGCUGAGAAAAAAAAAGAUAAACGGUUGAAAUAAUGUUACAAAAGAAAGAAAAAAAAUAAUUGAGAUUGUCAUAUCAAGGUUGGUUAUUUAA